rnacentral:lncRNA from 1 species
UUUUUUUUUUUUUUUUGGUUUUUCGAGACAGGGUUUCUCUGUAUAGCCUUGGCUGUCCUAGAACUCACUUUGUAGACCAGGCCGGCCUCGAACUCAGAAACCCACCUGCCUCUGCCUCCUGAGUGCUGGGAUUAAAGGUGUGUGCCACCACUGCCCGGCUGAGAAGCUAGUCUUGAGCAGGACCUGACCCUUUGGUUUACUGGGUUUGGAUGGCAGCCUGAUGAAAUCCCUCAGGGUUCACUGCCAUGACUCUGACAGAGAAACAGGCUUGAGGGAAAAUCAUUUGUGUCCCAUCAUUCCUUCCAUGUUCAUUUUACUAGGAGACUGCCAAGGGCAGGCGCCUCAGACCCAUGCAGAUUAAUGUGGAAGAAUUACACCAGCCAACCAAAGUAUUUCUUUUUAUAAAGUAUGUCGGCAGGGUAGUGAAUGACCCAAAGACGACUUACGGGAGAAAGCCAAGCUACAAGGAGGAUUAGUACUGUUGAGGAGUGGUGGUGCACACCUUCAAUCCCAGCACUCGGCAAGCAGAGGCAGGUGGAUCACUGAGUUCAAGGCCAGCCUGGUCUACAGAGCGAGUUCCAGGACAACACCCUGUCUCAAACAAACCAACCAAACCAAAAAACUAAACCAACCCAAAAGAGGAUCUUCAUCCUGCAGCCUACGAAGAGAUGAGGGGCAUGCAAGCUGGCGAGCAGGAGGACUGGGAGUACCACAGCCUGGGGCACAUGGAUGACAGCCAGCUGGAAGGUGCCUCAGGAGAGGGGUGGUGGCAGCAACACGGAAAGUCACCACAGCACUGCGCUGACAGUAAGUCCCCUCUUUUUAUAACUUUUAGGGCGUCACAUUCUUUAUCUGGAACAUUCUUCCUCUGGUGUCCAUGUGUCCAUCUGAGGCUCUGCUCCAGUGUUCCUUAACCAGUGAGGCAUACCCUGGACACCUGUAUAGCAGUGACAACACUCCCUGCCUUCAACUGUCCCUAAGGUAAUGGCACCACAAGUAAGGGCUUUAGUUCAUUCCACUCCCUGCUCAAUUUAGAACAGUGCCCCACAGAGCAAAUGCUUCGAAACAAGUAGGCAAUGGCUAGAUAUUUGGAGUUCAGACCAGUACAAGCAGCGCUGAGUGAAGCACGCUUACCUAGCACCUUACUGAAAGAGUAACCAUGGCCCAAGCAGCCUCAGAGGAACUGGGAGGGCAGCACAGCUGAGCUGGAGGAACGAUUCAGCAGCUAAAGACACUGUUGCUCGUUCAGAGGACCUGAGCUCCGUUCACAGCACCACAUGGCGGGUCACAAACACCUGUAACUCCAGUUACAGGGGACACAGUGCCUCCUUUUGAACCAUAAAGGCAGCGGGCAUGCAUACAGUGCACAUAUAUACAUGCAGACGAGAUACUCAUACACAUAAAAUGAAGUAAAUUAUACAUGUGUGAACAGUACAGCUACCUCCUCUGGAGCAGAGUUAGCUUACCUCGGCCUCUCUGCUGGUCAUAGGCCAGAAUAAUCAGACCUGACUACAGGUUCCACAUGCCAGCUGAGGUCUGAGCCAUGCUCCUCAGAAGCAACACUUGACUGAUAUUCCCAAGAAUGAGGUCACAGACCCUCGGCCCUGGAAGCACUUUCCCACCAGUCCACCCUGAUGAGGACUCAGAUUUCCAGGAAGGACAUCAAAGAUGUCCUGCAGCUGCUUUGAGGAAUCUAGGAGAGAGACUAUGCUGCCCCUCCCUCACAGCCUGUCUGGGGACACAGGGAUUGGCCCUACUGGAGUGCAAGGAUCCCGUUCAUGGGGUACCACCAUCAGGGAAACACUUGGGAAACCACCUGAGUUCUGAGUGACAGAAUUUCACACUAUAUCUCUUUAACACUUGAAAACCACUCUUCAUUUCCAAUUGAUCCCCUAGGGGUUCCCUCCUAGGAGGGAACUCCCUCCUCAAACCUAGCAACUCCCAAAGAUAGAGCUUGGCCUAAGUCUCCUGCAUUGGUGUUGAUCUGAAGACCCCCAUGUGUAGGAGAGCUCUGGGGGAAACCAAGGUUCCUAUUCAAAAUGCAGAUAUCUACAUUCAGUGCUUCAUGCGCUGCUAAUGAAUCUGUUACCAUGUGGUCUAACCAGGAAAAGGUCUUCUUCCACUGAAGCCCCGGAGCCAGCAUAGUCUAAGCUAACAACAGCGAGAGUAUUCAUGCGUUGGAGACACUAGAAUCCACUAUUUUGCUACAUGAAUUUCUUUGAUACUGGCAUUCCCGUGCCUUGCUUCUGAUUUAAUUCACUGUUUAAUGUUAAAGACUUGCAGUGGGGAUUGGCUAAAAGAUGAACUGGAUCCUCACGGCAAUAGCUGUGAUAAAAGCUUUGGUUUCCAAAGCUUAUUUAUCAGUCAGCAUCACCAGCAUUCCACAUUUGCUGAACGCCAUCAGUCCCUUAGUUUUUACCUCUAUGGAGAAUGUCAUCCAGAGAAUGGUGGAUUUAUUUGGCUUAAUCCUGUUUCAUACUGUUUCCUUCUUUCUUUUUUUUUUUUUAACUGCAGAUUUCUGAGCACAGCCCAGCAGUUCAGACUCUGUUCACAGGAUUUCUAAACAAGGAUGCCCCUGGCUGUGCCGUCCUGAGACUACGAAAUCUCUGUCCCAGAGAGCCUGUAUAGGUGCAGGUGGUGGCAAGUGGCCUGGAAGGCAGCAGCUAAUAGCAGUGCAGGAGCAAGGCUUAGAGAAAAAGAAAAACUGCAAAGGACAACCAGCUUCAGCCACUAGAGGGGGCUCUGGGUCUUCAAACCGCCAGGCUGAUUCCAUUAUGCACCCCCCGCCCCCCAGCCCCAAAGGAGGCAAUUCUGUGAGAUUCUCCCCAGGGCCACACCUGGGUUUGCAAAAAUUUGCAUGCUGUUUGACAACUAUAUACUUCUUAUCAAGCAAUUUUACAGGCUG